rnacentral:rRNA from 1 species
CCCGACUGCUAUUUGGGUGAGAAUAAGCCAUGCGAGUUGAAUGGAAUACCUAAAUUUUCCAUGGCAAACUGCUCAGUAACACAUGAUCAACUUACCCUAUAGAGAAAAAUAACCUCGGGAAACUGAGGAUAAUGUUUCAUAGUUGAAAAGGCUUGGAAAAGUUUUUCAAUCAAAAGGAUAAGAAAAAUGGUUCUUAUCCGCUAUAGGAUAGGAUCGUGGUCGAUUAUGGUUGUUGGUGAGGUAAUGGCUCACCAAGCCGAUAAUCGAUAGGGGCCGUGAGAGCGGGAGCCCCGAGAUGGGUACUGAGACAACGACCCAGGCCUUACGGGGCGCAGCAGGCGCGAAACCUCCGCAAUACACGAAAGUGUGACGGGGUUACCCAAAGUGUUCAGUUUUGAACUGUGGUAGGUGAGUAAUGUCCCCUACUAGAAAGGAGAGGGCAAGGCUGGUGCCAGCCGCCGCGGUAAAACCAGCUCUUCAAGUGGUCGGGAUAAUUAUUGGGCUUAAAAUGUCCGUAGCCGGUUUAGUAAGUUCCUGGUAAAAUCGGGUAGCUUAACUAUCUGUAUGCUAGGAAUACUGCUAAACUAGAGGGCGGGAGAGGUCUGAGGUACUACAGGGGUAGGGGUGAAAUCUUAUAAUCCUUGUAGGACCACCAGUGGCGAAGGCGUCAGACUGGAACGUGCCUGACGGUGAGGGACGAAAGCCAGGGGAGCGAACCGGAUUAGAUACCCGGGUAGUCCUGGCCGUAAACGAUGCAUACUAGGUGAUGGUAUGGCCAUGAGCCGUGUCAGUGCCGUAGGGAAACCGUUAAGUAUGCCGCCUGGGAAGUACGGUCGCAAGGCUAAAACUUAAAGGAAUUGGCGGGGGAGCACCACAAGGGGUGAAGCCUGCGGUUC